CCUACGGGGGGCUGCAGUAGGGAAUCUUCCGCAAUGGACGAAAGUCUGACGGAGCAACGCCGCGUGAGCGAAGAAGGUCUUCGGAUCGUAAAGCUCUGUUGUUAGGGAAGAACAAGUACCGGAGUAACUGUCGGUACCUUGACGGUACCUAACCAGAAAGCCACGGCUAACUACGUGCCAGCAGCCGCGGUAAUACGUAGGUGGCAAGCGUUGUCCGGAAUCAUUGGGCGUAAAGCGCGCGCAGGCGGUCCUUUAAGUCUGAUGUGAAAUCUUGCGGCUCAACCGUAAGCGGUCAUUGGAAACUGGGGGACUUGAGUGCAGGAGAGGAAAGCGGAAUUCCAUGUGUAGCGGUGAAAUGCGUAGAGAUAUGGAGGAACACCAGUGGCGAAGGCGGCUUUCUGGCCUGUAACUGACGCUGAGGCGCGAAAGCGUGGGGAGCAAACAGGAUUAGAUACCCUUGUAGUC
rnacentral:rRNA from 1 species